AGCGAACGCUGGCGGUAGGCCUAACACAUGCAAGUCGAACGGCAGCACAGUAAGAGCUUGCUCUUACGGGUGGCGAGUGGCGGACGGGUGAGGAAUACAUCGGAAUCUACUUUUUCGUGGGGGAUAACGUAGGGAAACUUACUCUAAUACCGCAUACGACCUACGGGUGAAAGCAGGGGAUCUUCGGACCUUGCGCGAUUGAAUGAGCCGAUGUCGGAUUAGCUAGUUGGCGGGGUAAAGGCCCACCAAGGCGACGAUCCGUAGCUGGUCUGAGAGGAUGAUCAGCCACACUGGAACUGAGACACGGUCCAGACUCCUACGGGAGGCAGCAGUGGGGAAUAUUGGACAAUGGGCGCAAGCCUGAUCCAGCCAUACCGCGUGGGUGAAGAAGGCCUUCGGGUUGUAAAGCCCUUUUGUUGGGAAAGAAAAGCAGCAGGUUAAUACCCCGCUGUUCUGACGGUACCCAAAGAAUAAGCACCGGCUAACUUCGUG
rnacentral:rRNA from 1 species